rnacentral:rRNA from 1 species
UACGUAGGGUGCAAGCGUUAAUCGGAAUUACUGGGCGUAAAGCGUGCGCAGGCGGUGAUGUAAGUCAGAUGUGAAAUCCCCGGGCUCAACCUGGGAACUGCAUUUGUGACUGCAUCGCUGGAGUACGGCAGAGGGGGAUGGAAUUCCGCGUGUAGCAGUGAAAUGCGUAGAUAUGCGGAGGAACACCGAUGGCGAAGGCAAUCCCCUGGGCCUGUACUGACGCUCAUGCACGAAAGCGUGGGGAGCAAACAGG